rnacentral:rRNA from 1 species
GAUGAACGCUAGCUACAGGCUUAACACAUGCAAGUCGAGGGGCAGCAUGGUCUUAGCUUGCUAAGGCCGAUGGCGACCGGCGCACGGGUGAGUAACACGUAUCCAACCUGCCGUCUACUCUUGGACAGCCUUCUGAAAGGAAGAUUAAUACAAGAUGGCAUCAUGAGUCCACAUGUUCACAUGAUUAAAGGUAUUCCGGUAGACGAUGGGGAUGCGUUCCAUUAGAUAGUAGGCGGGGUAACGGCCCACCUAGUCUUCGAUGGAUAGGGGUUCUGAGAGGAAGGUCCCCCACAUUGGAACUGAGACACGGUCCAAACUCCUACGGGAGGCAGCAGUGAGGAAUAUUGGUCAAUGGACGAGAGUCUGAACCAGCCAAGUAGCGUGAAGGAUGACUGCCCUAUGGGUUGUAAAACUUCUUUUAUAUGGGAAUAAAGUAUUCCACGUGUGGAAAUUUUGUAUGUACCAUAUGAAUAAGGAUCGGCU